AGGUAGAAAAACAAAGGAUCGACUGAUAUUACAGUCACAACCAAUAUCAUUUGCAUCCAAUCAAAGUACGGCCACCGUAGGAAAAUAUUUUUCAUUUUGUAGAGUAAUCUUUUGACAUUGGAUGUUGUCAACUCUGUAAAGCCACUAGGUUCAUAAAUUUCGAGAGCAGAAGAUGGAUCUCUUUUAGACUUCCCGGAAAUUGAAGCGCCACUAGGUUCAUAAAUUUUGAGAGCAGAAGAUGGAUCUCUUUGAGACUUCUUGGAAAUUGAAGAGCCACUAGGUUCAUUAAUUUCGAGAGCAGAAGAUGGAUCUCUUUGAGACUUCCCGGAAAUUGAAGAGCCACUAGGUUCAUCCAUUUUGAGACCAAAAGAUGGAUCUCUUUGAGACUUCUCGGAAAAUGAAGAGCCACUAGGUUCAUAAAUUUCGAGAGCAGAAGACGGAUCUCUUUGAGACUUCGCGGAAAUUGAAGAGCCACUAGGUUCAUCAAUUUCGAGAGCAGAAGAUGGAUCUCUCUGAGACUUCCCAGAAAUUGAAGAGCCACUAGGUUCAUCAAUUUCAAGAGCAGAAGAUGAAUCUCUUUGAAACUUCCUGGAAAUUGAAGAGCCACUAGGUUCAUAAAUUUCGAGAGCAGAAGAUGAAUCUCUUUGAGACUUCCCGGAAAUUGAAGAGCCACUAGGUUCAUAAAUUUCGAAAGCAGAAUAUGGAUCUCUUGUAACCACUUUCGCCACACUGAACAAAACGCAAGUAGUUCAAAGAUCAGUUCUUAAAAUAAAUAAAGCCUAUUUUUGUUAUAUAUUAAUGGAAUGCAAGGACAAUAAUUUAUAUUUCGGCGAUCCAUCCUAAGGGGACUUCAAUGUCUUUAAAACCUUCGGAGGAGAGUUCCAAUGAUCUUUAUUUUCACACUGAACCGUUUAGGUGGAAGCGUCCUUUUGUUCACUUUGCCUCGUUGAGGUAAAGGUGUCUUUUCAUUCACUUUGCUUUGUUGAGGUACAGGCGUCUUUUCCUUCACUUUGCUUCGUUGAGGUACAGGUGUCAUUACCUUCACUUUGUCUUGUUGAGGUAAAGGUGUCUUUUCCUUCACUUUGCUUCGUUGAGGUAUAGGCGUCUUUUCCUUCACUUUGUCUCGGAGAGGUACAUACAGUGGCGAUGGUCUUCUCUUGGGAAACCUGAAUUUCCUGUAGAACAUUAUAUAGCAAUCCAGUUAGUCAAUGAUAAAACUAACCCUAAAAUCGAACACUAAUCCAAAUGAC
rnacentral:lncRNA from 1 species